GAUCGACAAGGAUUUGGAUGCGAGUAUAAGUAGAACAUGGGUGGCUGCAGUAUGGUGGGAGAUUUUUGGAUAAACUUGAGGAUAGGGAUUCGGAUUCAGGACGAGCACUUCGACAUAGA